UCACUAAUCAGCCUUAGACUUUUUUUUAGUUCAUAAUGAAAUGAACCCCCGGAUGAAAAGACAUUAUCCCCUCCCUAUUACUAAACCAUGGGGAGCCCCGACUAGUUUACCGGGCUAAUUUUGUUGUCGUGACGAUACCUUUCUUAGUGGAAGAUCGGAAAAGACUUCUCUUCAUCACGAGACUGAUCGGAUCCGCCGUA
rnacentral:lncRNA from 1 species